rnacentral:rRNA from 1 species
GAUGAACGCUGGCGGCGUGCCUAAUACAUGCAAGUCGAACGAACAGACGAGGAGCUUGCUCCUCUGACGUUAGCCGCGGACGUGUGAGUAACACGUGUAUACCCUCCCUAUCAGACUGGGAUAACUUCGGGAAACCGGCGCUAAUCCCGGAUAAUCUAUUGAACCGCAUGGUUCAAUAGUGAAAGACGGUUUUGCUGUCACUUAUAGAUGGUUCCGCGCCGCAUUAGCUAGUUGGUAAGGUAACGGCUUACCAAGGCUACGAGGCGUGGCCGACCUGAGGGGGUGAUAGCCCACACGGGAAGUGAGACACGGUCCAGACUCCUACGGGAGGCAGCAGUAGGGAACCGUACGCAAUGGGCGAGAGCAUGGCGGAGUAACGCGGCGCGAGUGAUGAAGGUCUUCGGAGCGGAAAACUCUGUUAUUAGGGAAGAACAGAUGUGUAAGGAACUAUGCACGUAUUGACGGUACCUAAUCAGAAAGCCACGGCUAACUACGUG